AGUCGAACGAAGUAGCAAUACUUAGUGGCAGACGGGUGAGUAACAUGUAGGUAUCUACCCUAUGGCCUGGAAUAACACGAGGAAACUUGUGCUAAUACCGGAUAAGUCUUUACGGAGAAAGCUUUAUGCACCAUUGGAUGAGCCUGCACUUGAUUAGUUUGUUGGUAGGGUAAUGGCCUACCAAGACUGUGAUCAAUAGCUGAUUUGAGAGGAUGAUCAGCCACAUUGGGACUGAGACACGGCCCAAACUCCUACGGGAGGCAGCAGUGGGGAAUCUUGCACAAUGGAGGAAACUCUGAUGCAGCGAUGCCGCGUGAGUGAAGAAGGCCUUUGGGUUGUAAAGCUCUUUCGUCGGGGAAGAAAAUGACUGUACCCGAAUAAGAAGGUCCGGCUAACUUCGUGCCAGCAGCCGCGGUAAUACGAAGGGACCUAGCGUAGUUCGGAAUUACUGGGCUUAAAGAGUUCGUAGGUUGUUGAAAUAGUUGGUGGUGAAAUCCCAGAGCUUAACUCUGGAACUGCCAUCAAAACUUUUCAGCUAGAGUUUGAUAGAGGAAAGCAGAAUUUCUAGUGUAGAGGUGAAAUUCGUAGAUAUUAGAAAGAAUACCAAUUGCGAAGGCAGCUUUCUGGAUCAUUACUGACACUGAGGAACGAAAGCAUGGGUAGCGAAGAGGAUUAGAUACCCUCGUAGUCCAUGCCGUAAACGAUGUGUGUUAGACGUUGGAAAUUUAUUUUCAGUGUCGCAGCGAAAGCGAUAAACACACCGCCUGGGGAGUACGACCGCAAGGUUAAAACUCAAAUGAAUUGACGGGGACCCGCACAAGUAGUGGAGCAUGUGGUUUAAUUCGAAGAUACGCGCAGAACCUUACCAACACUUGACAU
rnacentral:rRNA from 1 species